rnacentral:rRNA from 1 species
GACGAACGCUGGCGGCGUGCUUAACACAUGCAAGUCGAACGGAAAGGCCCUGCUUUUGUGGGGUGCUCGAGUGGCGAACGGGUGAGUAACACGUGAGUAACCUGCCCUUGACUUUGGGAUAACUUCAGGAAACUGGGGCUAAUACCGGAUAGGAGCUCCUGCUGCAUGGUGGGGGUUGGAAAGUUUCGGCGGUUGGGGAUGGACUCGCGGCUUAUCAGCCUGUUGGUGGGGUAGUGGCUUACCAAGGCUUUGACGGGUAGCCGGCCUGAGAGGGUGACCGGACACAUUGGGACUGGGCUACGGCACAGACUCCUACGGGAGGCAGCAGUGGGGAAGAUUGCACAAUGGGCGGAAGCCUGAUGCAGCAACGCCGCGUGCGGGAUGACGGCCUUCGGGUUGUAAACCGCUUUCGCCUGUGACGAAGCGUGAGUGACGGUAAUGGGUAAAGAAGCACCGGCUAACUACGUG